AUGGCGGAGGUCAUCUUCUCGGCGGUUGUCGGGGACAUGGUCGGCAGGGUGAUAUCUCUUCUUGCCGGCCAGUUCAAGGGCCAAGGGUGCACAGACGCCAAGCUACGGAGGAUUUGCCAUAUGCUUGUCAAGGUUCACAGUGCAGUAGAGGAGGCCAAAGGGAGGCAGAUCACAAACUGCGGCACCCUCGAGUGGCUCUCGGAGCUCAACGACGGUGUGUACCAGGGCCGCUACUUGCUCAACACGGUCCGAUGCAGAGAGCAGGAGCUUGACAAUGAGCAUGCUGACAAGGUAGUUGCACAACCUUUCUCUUUCUCCUUGUUUAAUCCUGCAAAGCGUGUGCGCAUAGCAGCCGGCGCCAUGAAGAGCCUAUUGUCUGGCCAUGAUGUUGGUGUUGGUGAGGACAUAGAUAGAGUGGUAGAGAUCUUGGAAACCGUAUCUACUGAUCUCAAGGAGUUCAUGAUGCUCCUACACAACUGCCAGCCCAUCCAUCGUCCUUUGGCUACUAAUAUCUUUGUCGAGGGGCAGAUGUUCGGCAGACACAUCGACAAAGAGAGGAUCAUCAACUUCCUGCUGCACGAUGGUGGUUCGUCAACUGAAGAAAAAGUGGGUGUGCUUCCCAUCGUCGGCGACAUAGGAGUCGGGAAGACCACCCUUGCGCAGCAUGUCUGCGAUGAUAAGAGGGUGCGCAGCCACUUUCCAAUAAUCUUAUAUUCCAAUCUCUCAUACACCAGGGCAAUGGCAAGGGGUGAGGCAGCGUUAGUUCUAGGAUCCAGACACACAGUUAAAGAUGCUAAAGAAUUCAUCGAGUCACUGCAUGUACUCAAGCAGAAAUACUUCACCAAGAGGUUCUUGAUGGUAUUUGAAGAUGUUGACGCGGACAAGAAGCAGAUGCUAGAAGAGAUACUGCUGAUCUUAAGACAUGGAAAACAUGGAAGCAGGAUCAUAAUCACCACAAACAGCAGGGCCAUCGCGGCGAGCAUGGGAACGGUGCGGCCGAUCAGUCUGAAGGUCAUGCCGCACCAGGAGUACUGGUUCUUCUUCAAAGCGCACGCGUUUGCCGGCAGAGAUGUAGAGGAGGACCCAAGGAUGCUAGCAGAAGGCAAAGCGAUUGCAAGGAAGUUAAACGGGUCCUUCUUCGGAGCGAAAAUCAUCGGCGGGGUGCUGAAGGCUCAUCCGAAUCCUCGGUUCUGGCGCAAGGUGCUGAGAAGCAAUAUAGGGGGGUUAUCUCUGUUGGGUGAUGGAAUUGAGUACAUUUCAGAUUUGACAGAGAAUUUGCUACCGAUCGACGCAGACAUGUCUAAGGUGACCAUUUCUAAGGUUCCAUAUCCCUCUCAGACAGAACUGGCCAGGUUGGUAUAUCAGGCAAGUCCUAGCGCUAGUGUUGUUGCCCCGCGUGGUGAUAACGGGUUUGCAAAAGUCUUGUUGUGCCGGUCAGUGCUGCCAUUCCAAGUAUUGUACUACACUGCUCAUUGCAGUGUCCGCGGGCCGAACUAUUCACCAGAGUGCAUCAAACUCGAAAGAAGUAGAUUUGCCCAUCUUACUCCCCUCAAGAAAAGAUUUCCUAAUAUCAGUAAUAUAUGUGUGUGA
rnacentral:rRNA from 1 species